rnacentral:lncRNA from 1 species
GGUGGGGGUCCCCGCGCCGCCCAGGCCUACCCCGGCUCCUUGGGAUAGAUGGGGAAGCUGAGGCCCAGAAGGGGGCUGAGACCACCUCCCAGUUUCCCCAGUGAGGUGGCGCCUGAGCCACGGCCAGGCCCGGCCUCCUUCCACCCGGCCCUGCUGUGCGCGCGGCGGGUGCUGACCUGGCGAGGCCGGACAGGGGACCAGGUCGGGGUGACCGUCACUGACACCUGGACAGUCCUCGUUGUGUUCGGGGUGGGAAGCCCACGGUGAGUCUGGGGACCCAAGAUCUUAUUUUCCUUUCUGUCACCCCCGCUUGGUUUUGGAUUCCGUGACAGCUGGACCCGGCUUCUGCGUGGGAAGAGUGUAUCACAGCCAUUGGGAACUUUCUUCACCCAUCAAAGCCUCAGGGCUGAAGCAUCCUGAACAAGAACUCAGGAGAGUGAAAGAAACAGUUACCUGUCGGCUGCAGCUGGUACCAGCUCCCCACCCCGUACAGAGACCGAAGCGUCCUCUCUCUCCCCAUCACCCAGCACCAGACUCUGCCCCGCGACCUCAGCCUGCACCUGCUUCCUGGCUCCAUCCAGCCUUCCAGCCUCACUAGAUCAUCAUGGGCCACUGGCCAACACACAGGGCAGUGCCGAGCCCAGGCCGUGGUCACACAUGGCUGGGUUAGUAGCUGAAAACAUUGUUUUUCACUGGCCUCACAGUAAUGGCACCUGCCCCCAUUUUCUGUGAUUGAAUUUUUGGAUCCUGCUACCAGGUUAUGAUAGAUUUUAUGGUAUGUCUCAAGAUAUUGAGAUAAAGGUAAUAAAACAGCUAUAAAGUCCUGG